AUUGAACGCUGGCGGCAGGCUUAACACAUGCAAGUCGAGCGGGGGAAGGUAGCUUGCUACCGGACCUAGCGGCGGACGGGUGAGUAAUGCUUAGGAAUCUGCCUAUUAGUGGGGGACAACAUCUCGAAAGGGAUGCUAAUACCGCAUACGUCCUACGGGAGAAAGCAGGGGAUCUUCGGACCUUGCGCUAAUAGAUGAGCCUAAGUCGGAUUAGCUAGUUGGUGGGGUAAAGGCCUACCAAGGCGACGAUCUGUAGCGGGUCUGAGAGGAUGAUCCGCCACACUGGGACUGAGACACGGCCCAGACUCCUACGGGAGGCAGCAGUGGGGAAUGUUGGACAAUGGGGGGAACCCUGAUCCAGCCAUGCCGCGUGUGUGAAGAAGGCCUUAUGGUUGUAAAGCACUUUAAGCGAGGAGGAGGCUACUUUAGUUAAUACCUAGAGAUAGUGGACGUUACUCGCAGAAUAAGCACCGGCUAACUCUGUGCCAGCCGCCGCAGUAAGAC
rnacentral:rRNA from 1 species